rnacentral:lncRNA from 1 species
AAUGGAAGUGCUGUGUGAGGAUUCUGCUUAGCAAGAACUAAUCAGAGGUAUAUUUUUUUCCUCCCUCUUGUAAACAGAGAAGAGCAAACAAGGUGAAAGAAGUGGAGUUUGACAAACCAAUUAUUUUCUGGCAUUAUGGUGAUCACAGAGAAGAAACUUUCUCCAAGACAUGGAAGGUUCAGGCUGCCAUGACUGUCACACCAGAGCUGACAUAUGGCAAACCUCAGAUCCCAGUGGUCAAGAAAGCAGGCAGAGGACAAAGAAGAGUGCACUGUGGGUUGAACGAUGGCUUAUCUUUCAUUUAUAUCUUUCUGAGUAUCUUCCUGUUUGAUGAAGCUGCUGCAGUCUCCCAUGUGGGGGUUUCUAUACCAAGAUAUUUAGCCCUUCUCCAGAUCACUCUACAGUUGGAAUGUUCCCCCCUUUUGGACAUGGCAGCAUGUGUCUUCCUAGCAGCAACACCGUAACAGUGAUGUUUAAUCAGGAAAGAGGUCGGUGACUAAUAAAGAUGAAGAAAUGGUCAGAGAAUGGAAGUGGCCUCGGGAUGGCAAGCUUGCCCAGCCAGUUAUAGCACAGCCAAAGUUGACAGAGCUGUUGAUGAAAAAUGAAGUUCCAGAGGCAACUGUGAGCCACGUAAAUGACAUCAGUGCAGCCAGAGAACUGAGGAAUUUGCAGAGGAAAAUCCAGAGAAUUGUGGAUAACUGGCUGCAGUAUUAUCACACAGCACUAGGAAUUGACCACAUACACCUUCAGAAAAUGUCUGGCUUUCAUCUGUGGCCCUUAAGGAAGGGCAUAAUUCAAUCUGCAGACGCUGUCCCAGCUACCUCGGGUUUGCAGAGAUCACAAAGGAAGAGGAAAGUGAAGAGCCAAUCUCCCAAGUCAUAAACUCCUCUCCUAGAUCAAAUGCAGUUGGCUCCUCCUUACAGCAUGCAGCAGGAACCAUACUCCUAUCCUCUCAGGUAAAUGAGGGGGACAAGGGGAGGAGAUAAAAGAGCUACUUGUCCCCCAAGUCACAAGUCACUAAAUUGUUCUUUCAUGAUCAUUUACUUAUGCCACACAGUAGGAAUUUACAUCCUUUUCCCAUGAGAUGUCAUUAUCAGUACCUCAGAGACUUCAUAUAUCCCUGUUUAAUACUGUAAAAGCAGCAAGAACAAUGAAGAAGCAGUUGAGAAGGUUUGGGAAAAUACCCAUUUUAGAUCUUUAAAUACUAUUUCAGCAAAUAAGAUUAACGUUUUUGAUUAUUAUCAGUCACACUUGUGAUAGGAACAUCCAAAAAACUCUGGGAUGCCUUCCAAUACCAGCAUUUAGGAAGAUGCAAACCCCACAUGUCACACACUUGGCUGAUGCCC